rnacentral:rRNA from 1 species
UACGGAGGGUGCAAGCGUUAUCCGGAAUCAUUGGGUUUAAAGGGUCCGCAGGCGGUCUUAUAAGUCAGUGGUGAAAGCCUACAGCUCAACUGUAGAACUGCCAUUGAUACUGUAAGACUUGAAUUCGAUCGAAGUGGGCGGAAUAUGACAUGUAGCGGUGAAAUGCUUAGAUAUGUCAUAGAACACCGAUAGCGAAGGCACCUGCACCUUGGUCACUGAAGCUCAAACGCGGAAGCUUGGGGAUCAAACCGG